UUUUAAAUUAUAGUAUCUUGUGGUGAACCAGAGAAUGCUAAAUGCCAACACACUGGUCCUGGGUCUGCUAAGUGUGUUUGUUGUCCUGGUCAUCAUGGUUAUAAAUGUUUGAAUGAUGGAGAAUUUCCAGCAACAGUAUUCUCAACAUCGCUCGUGAUUCCUACAGUUAUUCUUUGCAUAGUUUUGUGGUUUGUACAAGGUAGAGAUGUAUAUAGAAAGAAAACUGAAUACUGAAUUUUAUUUAUACAAUUUAUGCAACUAUUUAUAUAUUUUACUUUGUAACUAAAUGAAAGAGAAAGAGUUUUUAACAUGCUAAAACAAAAGUGUAAUUUUUUUUUUUCACAUUUGAACAAAUUAAAUACUACAGUUGAAAGAAACAUUACAUUUACAUUCCCUAUCAGAAUGAGAAUAAAUUAUACAUCUGAAAGUAAAAUAUCUUUAUUAUUUCACUGUAUUUUUUAACAGUAUGUGGUCUCUUCAUGUUUAGAACUCGACUAACAUUUUAUGACUAAUGUUAUUUUUAUUUAAAAAACGUGCAAGAUAUAAUGUUUGACCAAAAUGGGAAUUAAUUUUGUAUAUAAUAUGGUAUAGGAGCAUCUUUGAUAUCCAAAACUGCUUGAAUUUUUCUUGAAAUGGAAGCAUAGAACUUCUGAAUGAUGUUAGCUAUUUCAUACCAUUUUCUAAUCAGAAACUGCUCCAGUUUGUUGUGGAAUUGAUAGAAGAAAAUGGAAUCUUGAUCUACUUUCCAGCACAGCCCACACUGGUCUAAUGACACUACAUCUGAUGAUUGUGCAAUUUAGAAAAGAUGAGCAACUUCAUGUUAUUGAAAGAUUAAACAAUCUGAAUUGUUGAAUGGGAGUGCUAUCAUCUUGAAAGAUUCAGUUACUCAUUAGAAAUAAUUUCUAUACCUCAGAAUGGAACACAAAUCAUUUAAAAUGGGUUACAUAGUCACUACUAUUUAUUCUUCUUUGUAAGGUCAUAAACUGCAAUAUUUUUGUCCAAAGCAUAACUCAAGCACCACAAUUUAAUGUAGGAUGCAGACAGUUUAGAUUAUGAGCAUAUGUUUGUGUUCUUUCAACUCCCGAAUUGAAUAGUGUGAAGGUUGACUUGUACAAUAUAGUAUUUUCAUACAGUACAUAUUUUCAUUGAUCAGUAUUCCACAUUUUAUGUUCCUGGCACCACCACUACAGUCUCUAUUUUACAUUUAUUUGUGAAACAAAACACAUACUAUACUUAGGUAUCUGCUUAUGCACAAGGUUAUGAGGUGUCUUCUUACCUAUGUCCAUUUAUAUUAUAUGUGUUGAAACUAAGUUGGAUAGAUAUGCAUUAUGCUCAGUAAUCAUCUUUGUCACAAUAGUUUUUCUUUUUGAUGUCAGAAUUAUAUUUAUCAUCCUUUUGGUUUUACGAGUAAGUUUUGCCUUCCUCUGAUAACUGAGUUAUGCAGAUAAUCUUUUGUCAUAAUUAUUGUAUGCUGUCAUGUCUUCAGACACAGCAUCUCAAUAUCUCCAAUAAUUUUCUAAAUGAGGCUAUAGACAGGGCCGGAUUUAGACUUGAUGAGGCCCUAAGCUAUUUGAGAUAUGGAAGCCCUUUCUAAGUCUGUUAUACUAUAUUUAAAAUUUUUUAAAUAUUUAAGCUAUAGCUUGUGUAGCUUAUACAUAAAUCCUGCACUGGUUACAGAUGCACCAUCGAGCCAGGUUCGAAGAAUUUAACCUCUUUGCUACUUGAAAAAGUCAUUCAUUUGUAACUGUUUCAAAACUGCAAAAGAAGUUUGUAAUUUUGCACAACUUUGAGAAUAUAUAUAAAAUAAUCAUAUACAAAACAGUAACUUUAGUACUUUUACUACUUUUAGUUUACUAUGUAAUUGACAGAAACAAAAUUGACUUUUUUAAGUGUAGUGUUUUCAUUAUUUUAGACGGUCUCUGUAUGUCUUUUUAAAUAAAAUAUCUGCAGUUCCAUGCUGACUUAUAUUUCAGGAGAAUUAUGUAUUAAUUUUUCUGUUUAGUGCACAUAUGUAUGUACAGUUCUUUUUAAUUAUAAAAAAAUACCUAAAUUUUCUUUUUUGCAUGGACUUGUAUAGUUAACAUUUUAAGAAUAUCAAUAUAUUUUUAACUGUUAAAUUGAACUGAGAAGGACUAGACUCAGUUUGGGGAUUUUGACUUAACAAAUAUCUAUAUCUGAUUUAUUAAAAAUAUAUUAUGCCACUCAUACAUUAACUACUAAUAUUCUUAGUAACCAAGACAUUAAACUAAUACUGUUAUUGCAGUUAUCAACAAACAAAUGUCAAAUAUAGAUUGAUCAUGGAGGUGGUAAUGCCAUUUUGUUAGGAAUAAAAGUGCCAUAACUGACUCUUCAUCAUUUUAUGUAUAAUUUCGAGAAAGUGCAAUAUGAAAAUAGUCUGAUUAUAUGAUGUAAAUAAGCAAUUUCAAAUAUCUUAUGGCUAUGUUGUUGUUAUUAACAUCACAUGUAUACAAACCUGUUCCCAUCUGUUAAUAUUUUGUUGCAACAAUAUUAUAACUGGAAAAAAUUUAUUACAAAAAAUGUUAAAUUUGAUAAAGCAUCUAAGAAAUCCAGAUUUUGAUAUAAAACUAUUAUAGGACAAUGUAAUUAUAAAUUUUAGUAUUUUUAAAAUCUCAAAUUAGAGUGAACGUAAUUAAAGCAAUAAAUGAAUAAGUUAAAUGCAGUCAAAAAGCACUUUAAAAAAAAAAAAAAAGCUUAAAUUAGCAUCUGAAGGAAAAGGCUGAUUAUUACAAUAUUGAUUGCAAUAUUCAUUCAUUUUUGGCUAACUGAUUUGGGUUUUCUAUCUUCAUGUGACCAAUAUAUGUACUUCCUGUAACUUUGUCAUUUGCUUUUUUAAUAAUUAUAUAAAGCUCUUAUUUAUACAAUAGUUGUGUGGCUUUAUAACUAUUGUCAUUCUGUAAGACAUAAGAUCUUUAAAACUAUAUAUUGCUUAAUGAUUUGAAAGCAAUGCAAGUACUUAAUAAUUAUACCUUUUUUUUUAAUUAUUUCUUUUAUAAGGCAUCUAAUUCUUAUAAUUAAUCAUAUAUUCAAAAGAUAAUUUUAAAAACAUUUGUCCCAUAAUUGUAAUAAAUAAAGAUGUUUCUAAUGCCAUGUACUGUGAUAUAACAUUUGUCAUCAUCAGUCUUCUGAUGAGUCUUGAUUAAGUUGAAAUUUAAGAUAUAUAUAUUUAAUUAAUAUUCAUAUGAAAUAUAAAAUGUGUACUUUUAUUAAAAUUUAUUUUAAAAGAGA